UACGUAGGGUGCAAGCGUUGUCCGGAAUUAUUGGGCGUAAAGAGCUCGUAGGCGGUUUGUCGCGUCUGCUGUGAAAAUCCAGGGCUUAACCCUGGACCUGCGGUGGGUACGGGCAGACUAGAGUGCGGUAGGGGAGAUCGGAAUUCCUGGUGUAGCGGUGAAAUGCGCAGAUAUCAGGAGGAACACCGGUGGCGAAAGCGGCUUCCUGGUCCAGCACCGACGUUCAGGCACGAAAGCGUGGGGAGCAAACAGG
rnacentral:rRNA from 1 species